GAGCAACGAGAACUAAGAGCCUGGAGAACAGCAGUAAUUUCUCCAGAUGAGACAAAUCCAGAAGCUUUCCUCCCAAACCGCCCGAAACCACGUGGCCCCCAAGAUUAAGGAGGAAUGGAUUCCAAGAUAAACGGAGAGGGACACAGAAAAUAGCCACAAAACCUUGUUCUACACAUGCCAUGACUGCAAAGAAUCCUCAAUCAGACAGAUCAAUGGAGAAGAGCCAGACCUCCUGCAAAAGCCCAUUAUGUCUUUAAGAGUGCAGAGACAAAAAAUUAAUAAUUGUGCCUAAUGAAAAGGUUUAUCAUCUUACAUUUUCCCCUGAACUGUAACUAUAUGACCACGAGAUACAAAAAGUUAUUUCAAGUAAAUACCUAUUCUUUCUAAAAUAAGCACAUAGCAGUAAUGAAAAGGCUUUGACUUUGGCAAACGCUUCCUUACUUCAGCACUCGCAGCCUCUGAUGGUCCCUGUAUGGAGAUGACCACACAAUGUCCACGUGGGUGGCCCCGGGGUCCUGUCACUGCAGCAGUCCUUCUCAGGACACGGAGCCACCCUGCACGUCCCCUGCCCCGGGAGCACCGUGCCAUGCCUGCUCAGUCCACACCAGCUCAUUGUAAUGUUCUACAUUUAAAAGAAACAACGCCUAGACAUUUGUCUUCACUGGAAAUUUCACUAAAGGAUCACCCUAGAUGAAACAGAUACUUUAAAAGUGAAAAACCAUUGAUCGAGAGUUAAGCAGUUUAUUCACUACCAAACCCCUAAGGGGCAAAGAUGGGGUACAAAACAGCAAGAUGCGGCCCCUGUGCUUGUCUCCACGACAGCUGUCUGCACGGAAACUGAACAGAUACGAAGAAAUCUGGUAUUAGCAACUGUGUUCCAUUCAGUCUUUAGUCUCAUAACUUAAUUUUCAUUAUUAGCUCAAAUUAAAAUAGAAGUGAAAACUGGCAAAGAGAGUUUUAACCAAAUAUUCUUUUAAACUACUUUUAUUGCCAUUAGAUUAUCUAGUAUUUUAACUUAUUUUCAUGUAAUCAACUUUUGUGUUUAGGUAAAUCUUAUCAAAUUUAAGCACUCAAGAUUCUUAAAUGUUUUGGAGUUUUGCUGGAAAGUAAAUGCCUGUUUGUAGGUAUUGAUAAGCGAAAAGUUCACAUUUUAACGUAUCAUCAACUACAAUUUGCAUUUCUCUACCAAAUAGCCCUCUAUAAUGGAAAUUCACUGUAAAACAGGAAUUUACAUUUGUUACAAAGAAAGUUCUCAAUAAUUGUUUAUCAAA